rnacentral:rRNA from 1 species
UGCGUAGGCGGGUCUUUAAGUCAGGGGUGAAAUCCUGGAGCUCAACUCCAGAACUGCCUUUGACACUGAAGAUCUUGAGUUCGGGAGAGGUGAGUGGAACUGCGAGUGUAGAGGUGAAAUUCGUAGAUAUUCGCAAGAACACCAGUGGCGAAGGCGGCUCACUGGCCCGAUACUGACGCUGAGGCACGAAAGCGUGGGGAGCAAACA